GCUCCAUCCUAAAGCAUCACAACAAAAACUAAGAGAAACACAUAAAGAAAGGUGUAGGCAAGGGGAGAGAAGGCUUAACUCCAACUUAAAGAUCAAGAGAUCAUCUUAUGGAGAGAAGAUCUAACUCCAACUUAAAGAUCAAGCAAUCAUAUUCCAUGAUCAAAACCGUUCAAGAAGAUUUCCACAACAAUGAAUGGAGUUAUUAGUUAUACAUGGUUAUAAUACCGGAACUAAACGAGAAAAUACCUGAAUAUCACGUGGAAGCAGUUCAAAAGUACAGGGCUGGUGCAUCUCAUUUGCUGAAUUUUUGGAGAAGAACAACCAUAUAUAUAUGUCGAUGCAGGUCCAUGAAACUGGGGAAAUUCUAUCAGAGUGAGGACUAUUCUAACUAAGGAAUUGUUCAACAUGGUAUAUAGUCAAAGGGAAUAAUAGCAUUUAAUAUUUCGAAGCAAAAAGACCUAAGCGAAGAUUCCUUCGCCCCACCAGGUACGCACAAUGAAGUCUAGUUGAGUGGAAAUAAGCGCAGUCGCUAUGCGUGGAAACAAACUGUGACAUCAUCUCGGACUGAUUUGAAUGGCAGAGAUCGAUUGGUGUAGUUUUCUAUAGCAUGUGGCUACGUUUAGUUUCAUUGAUUUAGGAAUUUUUUUCUAAAUAUUUAUAUAAUCUUCGGAUAGGAAAAUCAAUAAUAAGUGAAAGUAGACGAUAACCCGUGCGCAUAGGCGAAUGUAUUUUUUAUACUAAUGUUUAUUCAUUAAAUUGUUUUAA